rnacentral:rRNA from 1 species
CUAGUCGAGUGACACUGCGCCGAAAAUGUACCGGGGCUAAACAUAUUACCGAAGCUGUGGAUUAUCCGUAAGGAUAAUGGUAGGAGAGCGUUCUAAACGUGUCGAAGCAUGAUCGUAAGGACAUGUGGAAUGUUUAGAAGUGAGAAUGCCGGUGUGAGUAGCGAAAGAUGGGUGAGAAUCCCAUCCACCGAUUGACUAAGGUUUCCAGAGGAAGGCUCGUCCGCUCUGGGUUAGUCGGGACCUAAGCCGAGGCCGAUAGGCGUAGGCGAUGGAUAACAGGUAGAUAUUCCUGUACCACCUAUGAUUGUUUGAACGAUGGGGGGACGCAGUAGGAUAGGCGAAGCGUGCUGUUGGAGUGCACGUCCAAGCAAUAAGACUGAGUGUUAGGCAAAUCCGGCACUCGUAAGGUUGAGUUGUGAUGGGGAGUUGGAUCAUGUAUCCGACGAGUCGUUGAUUUCACACUGCCAAGAAAAGCCUCUAGUUAGAAAAUAGGUGCCCGUACCGCAAACCGACACAGGUAGUCAAGAUGAGAAUUCUAAGGUGAGCGAGCGAACUCUCGUUAAGGAACUCGGCAAAAUGACCCCGUAACUUCGGGAGAAGGGGUGCUUUUUAGGGUGCAAGCCUUGAAGAGCCGCAGUGAAUAGGCCCAAGCGACUGUUUAUCAAAAACACAGGUCUCUGCUAAACCGUAAGGUGAUGUAUAGGGGCUGACGCCUGCCCGGUGCUGGAAGGUUAAGAGGAGUGGUUAGCUUCUGCGAAGCUACGAAUCGAAGCCCCAGUAAACGGCGGCCGUAACUAUAACGGUCCUAAGGUAGCGAAAUUCCUUGUCGGGUAAGUUCCGACCCGCACGAAAGGCGUAACGAUUUGGGCACUGUCUCAACGAGAGACUCGGUGAAAUCAUAGUACCUGUGAAGAUGCAGGUUACCCGCGACAGGACGGAAAGACCCCGUGGAGCUUUACUGUAGCCUGAUAUUGAAAUUUGGCACAGCUUGUACAGGAUAGGUAGGAGCCUUUGAAACGUGAGCGCUAGCUUACGUGGAGGCGCUGGUGGGAUACUACCCUGGCUGUGUUGACUUUCUAACCCGCACCAUUUGAUCAUGGUGGGAGACAGUGUCAGGCGGGCAGUUUGACUGGGGCGGUCGCCUCCUAAAGAGUAACGGAGGCGCUCAAAGGUUCCCUCAGAAUGGUUGGAAAUCAUUCGCAGAGUGUAAAGGCACAAGGGAGCUUGACUGCGAGACCUACAAGUCGAGCAGGGUCGAAAGACGGACUUAGUGAUCCGGUGGUUCCGCAUGGAAGGGCCAUCGCUCAACGGAUAAAAGCUACCCCGGGGAUAACAGGCUUAUCUCCCCCAAGAGUUCACAUCGACGGGGAGGUUUGGCACCUCGAUGUCGGCUCAUCGCAUCCUGGGGCUGUAGUCGGUCCCAAGGGUUGGGCUGUUCGCCCAUUAAAGCGGUACGCGAGCUGGGUUCAGAACGUCGUGAGACAGUUCGGUCCCUAUCCGUCGUGGGCGUAGGAAAUUUGAGAGGAGCUGUCCUUAGUACGAGAGGACCGGGAUGGACAUACCUCUGGUGUACCAGUUGUCGCGCCAGCGGCAUAGCUGGGUAGCUAUGUAUGGACGGGAUAAGUGCUGAAAGCAUCUAAGCAUGAAGCCCCCCUCAAGAUGAGAUUUCCCAACUUCGGUUAUAAGAUCCCUCAAAGAUGAUGAGGUUAAUAGGUUCGGGGUGUAAGCGCAGUAAUGUGUGUAGCUGACGAAUACUAAUCGAUCGAAGACUUAAUCAAAUUUUA